UUAAUCCUGACAACAUCCUGCUGACGGCGGACGGUCACAUGUGAUUGGCUGAUUUUGGCUCCUCUCCGGCUGUAGGAUGAUGGACUGCUGAUGUUUGCGCUAGCGGCAACUGUCACAAUAGAAGAAGAGCACAGACAGUUAUCUUCCAAAACGGGUGUUUAUUAACAUAUGGGCAGAAACACAAGCAGGUGCAGUAGGACAGAACGAAGAAGACUGAAGAC